rnacentral:rRNA from 1 species
CUACGGGAGGCACCAGUGAGGAGUAUUGCACAAUGGGGGGAACCCUGAUGCAGCAACGCCGCGUGGAGGAUGACGCAUUUCGGUGUGUAAACUCCUUUUAUAUGUCAAGAAAAUGACGGUAGCAUAUGAAUAAGCACCGGCUAACUCCGUGCCAGCAGCCGCGGUAAUACGGAGGGUGCAAGCGUUACUCGGAAUCACUGGGCGUAAAGGACGCGUAGGCGGGUUGGAAAGUCAGGUGUGAAAUCCUACAGCUUAACUGUAGAACUGCACUUGAAACUUCUAACCUAGAGUAUGGGAGGGGGAGAUGGAAUUAGUGGUGUAGGGGUAAAAUCCGUAGAUAUCACUAGGAAUACCUAAAGCGAAGGCGAUCUCCUGGAACAUUACUGACGCUAAGGCGUGAAAGCGUGGGGAGCAAACAGGAUUAGAUACCCUCGUAGUC